rnacentral:misc_RNA from 1 species
UGCUUGGCAUGUCGGAUCCCUGCUCGGGCAGCGACGAUGUGCCUAGCUCGCCUCUUCAGUUGGUCGCCCAAGUGAGUGCUAGCCUUGGCUGCUCUCUCGGUUUCCUGUGUUGCAUACCCACCAAGAGGGUAUUGAAUCGGCUAAAAAAUGUCCCGUUUCCGCCUUGUGCCGCGCCCCUCGGGGCCGUGGUGCGGGGUGGACUACAAAGCAUCCGCCGUGUUCCACUUCUCGCCGCACGUCCCGUUGCGCGUCGAGUUGUUGGCCCAUGGCGGCAUGCUCGAUCUCUCGGAUGCGGAAAAUUUAGUGGGCACGAGGCCACCGGUCCCUAUUUGUCCCGAAACAAAGCGUUCUACGCUUCGUGCGAACGACGGCCGUUGCCGUCUUGGUCCGGCCCUCGCGGCUUGGGUCAUGCGGUCUCGGCGUCGAUGAGGAAUGCUACCUGGUUGAUC